UUGACCUCGGAUCAGGUAGGGAUACCCGCUGAACUUAAGCAUAUCAAUAAGCGGAGGAAAAGAAACCAACAGGGAUUGCCUCAGUAACGGCGAGUGAAGCGGCAAUAGCUCAAAUUUGAAAGCUGGCGCCUUCGGCGUCCGCGUUGUAAUUUGUAGAGGAUGCUUCGGCGAGGACUCCUGCCUAAGUCCCCUGGAACGGGGCGUCACAGAGGGUGAGAAUCCCGUACGUGGCGGGCGGUCCGAGCCAUGUGAAGCUCCUUCGACGAGUCGAGUUGUUUGGGAAUGCAGCUCUAAAUGGGAGGUAAAUUUCUUCUAAAGCUAAAUAUUGGCCAGAGACCGAUAGCGCACAAGUAGAGUGAUCGAAAGAUGAAAAGCACUUUGGAAAGAGAGUUAAAAAGUACGUGAAAUUGUUGAAAGGGAAGCGCUUGCAACCAGACUCGCUCGCAGUUGCUCAGCCGGCCUCUUGGCCGGUGUACUCUUCUGCGAUCGGGCCAGCAUCAGUUCGGGCGGCCGGAUAAAGGCAUCGGGAAUGUAGCACCCUUCGGGGUGUGUUAUAGCCCGGCGCGGAAUGCGGCCAGCCUGGACUGAGGAUCUCGCUUCGGCAAGGAUGCUGACGUAAUGGUUGUAAGCGGCCCGUCU
rnacentral:rRNA from 1 species